UCACAUAGAUAGUAAAUGGUGGUUCACUAAUUCUUAUAAACUCUCUUGCAGGUCUGUGAGUUGGCAGUGACUUUGCUGGGCUCAUCUGAGAUUGGUGGGGCUCUGCUCCAUGCCAUAUGCUGUCUCUUUCUGGAACCCUGGCAAAAGAAAGUGCCACUAUCUGGAGCAUGUUGAUCUCAUGAGGGCGAGAACAGCUCUGGAGGAUUUGCCAAAGAAGAAAAAGUGAAAGUAUCAGAAUCUAUCAAAAAUAUAAGAAGAGAUUGUAGAAAUACGGCAAAGAAAGAAAGAUCAUUUCUAGAAAAUAAAGGAUUGGAUUAUCAGCAGAAUAAAUUUGAUUAAACUAUUGGAAGUAUUUGGAAGAUUACUGGUGAUUGUUUUGAUCUUCACAUUCUGUGUUAGUGUUGAGAGAUAAAUGAGUAAUGAAUAACUUCCUGUGUGAAAUUAACAUUUUUUAUAAUUUAGUAAAGGAAAAGAAUGAUAGGUUGAUAUUUUUAUGACCGCCAACCUAGGUGCUACUGUUUGAAUGUUUGUCCCUUCUGAAAAUCAUGUUGAAAUUUAAUUGCCAUUGCAACAGUAUCAGAGGGUGGAACCUUUAAAAGGUGAUUAAGUCCCACCCUCAUGGGAUGGAUUUGUGCUAUUAUAAAAGGGUAAUUUUGGCCUCCUCUUUACCUCUUUUGCCCUUCUGCCUUCUGUCAUGGAAUGAUGCAGCAAGAAGGCCCUGGCCAGAAGGUGGCCCUUCAACUUUGGGCUUCCCAGCCUCCAAAACUGUGUCAAUAAAUUUUGAUUUAUUACAAAUUA